rnacentral:rRNA from 1 species
GAAUUCACUAGUGAUUCAGGCCUAACACAUGCAAGUCGAACGAAGUAUAGUGAAUUGAGUUCUUCGGAACAAUUGAAGCUGUACUGAGUGGCGGACGGGUGAGUAACGCGUGGAUAACCUGCCUUACACUGGGGGACAACAGUUGGAAACGACUGCUAAUACCGCAUAAGCGCACAGUACCGCAUGGUACGGUGUGAAAAACUCCGGUGGUGUAAGAUGGAUCCGCGUCUGAUUAGCUAGUUGGUAGGGUAAUGGCCUACCAAGGCAACGAUCAGUAGCCGGCCUGAGAGGGUGUACGGCCACAUUGGGACUGAGACACGGCCCAGACUCCUACGGGAGGCAGCAGUGGGGAAUAUUGCAAAGGGGGCGAAAGCCUGAUGCAGCGA